AUCAGCUGUCAGCCCAAACCACACCUUUUUUGCCACCAAAAAAGAGACUAGGACUCUUGUCGCUAUCCUAAUACAUUUACUUACACCUUCCUUUUAAAAUGCAGUUAUUUGAUGUUUUUUUAUGAAAAAAAGACCUGUCUUGGAUAAAUGUACCCUGUCAUGCCUAUACAGUUCGGGCACAUCCACCCUGAUAUUUAAUUACAUGCCCACCUGCUGCUAGCACAGUUCUUGCCAUGUCCCUGUUUAGUUUUCUUUUGACUCAGAAGUCAGGUCUUUGGGAGCUUUUAUAUCUCCAUGUUAUCUUGGAAAUUAUGUACGACUAUACAAUAGAUGAGGCAGGAAAUUGCCUCAUGAUCCACCUUUAGCCUGACCUCAUUAUAUUUGAGAGCUACCCAAUGGUCAUGGAGCUUACAUCGUUCCCGCCCAGAUGUAAGAUUAUGAUAACUG